CAAAAUUAGAAAUGAAGGAAAAAAAAUCGAAGCAUGGUGAUGCACACUUGUAAUCCAGGCACUUAAAAAGCUGAGGCAGGUGGAUCAGUGUGAGUUCGAGGCCAGCCUGGGCUACCUAGUGCAUUCAAGGACAACCUCAAUUACAUGGGUCUCACUCUCCAGACCAGCCUUGAACUUGCUACAUACUCCAGGCCAGCCUAGAACUUAAGGAUUCUUCUGUCUCAGCCUUCAAGGUACUUGGACUACAAGCAUGCAUCACCAUGCCUGGCUCAUCCUUCUCUUAUUUGGUGAACUCCUUUUUCAUAUCUUUCACUUACAAGACAGUUUUGAGAAUUCUUUACAGAGUUCUACUUGUAAAUCCUAUGUCAGAUAUAAUUUGUCUUUCAAUAGAAUUGUACCGGCAAUACUCAGCCAGAGUUUAAGAUCUAUUAAAUCAAGGCUUGGUGAGCAA